GGCGGACCUGUGAGGGGAUCCGACUUGCCGGCAGAACUUAGGCUGCGGGACCCCGGGCACUGUUGCUGCUGCGGGAGAUAUUCAAGAGAAGCUUAUGUGGAGUUAGUUCACCAUAUUAGAGAAUCUAUUCCAGGUGUGAGCCUUAGCAGCGAUUUCAUUGCUGGCUUUUGUGGUGAGACGGAGGAAGAUCACGUCCAGACAGUCUCUUUGCUCCGGGAAGUUCAGUACAACAUGGGCUUCCUCUUUGCCUACAGCAUGAGACAGAAGACACGGGCAUAUCAUAGGCUGAAGGAUGAUGUCCCGGAAGAGGUAAAAUUAAGGCGUUUGGAGGAACUCAUCACUAUCUUCCGAGAAGAAGCAACAAAAGCCAAUCAGACCUCUGUGGGCUGUACCCAGUUGGUGCUAGUGGAAGGGCUCAGUAAACGCUCUGCCACUGACCUGUGUGGCAGGAAUGAUGGAAACCUUAAGGUGAUCUUCCCUGAUGCAGAGAUGGAGGAUGUCAAUAACCCUGGGCUCAGGGUCAGAGCCCAGCCUGGGGACUAUGUGCUGGUGAAGAUCACCUCGGCCAGUUCUCAGACACUUAGGGGCCAUGUUCUCUGCAGGACCACUCUGAGGGACUCUUCUGCAUAUUGCUGACCUGAGAGGAUGGCCUCAGAGCUGACUUGGGCAGUCCUCCCCAACAGGAAGGGGAGACAUUGCCGGCCACUGAGGAAAGAGGUCAUGAAGGUGGAGAUAAGCUGCAAGGCGCGAAGCAACUUUGUGUCAGUGGAAAACGUGUCUCUUUAAAGCUGCUAUGUGAACAGCUUUUACAGUCAUUAAAUUUACCUAAACUAAGGUUAA
rnacentral:sRNA from 1 species